GACGAACGCUGGCGGCGUGCUUAACACAUGCAAGUCGAACGAAAAGAGGGAAAGAGCUUGCUCUUUCCGGAAUUGAGUGGCAAACGGGUGAGUAACACGUAAACAACCUGCCUUCAGGAUGGGGACAACAGACGGAAACGACUGCUAAUACCGAAUAAGUUCCAAGAGCCGCAUGGCCCAUGGAAGAAAAGGUGGCCUCCACCUGUAAGCUAUCGCCUGAAGAGGGGUUUGCGUCUGAUUAGCUGGUUGGAGGGGUAACGGCCCACCAAGGCGACGAUCAGUAGCCGGUCUGAGAGGAUGAACGGCCACACUGGAACUGAGACACGGUCCAGACUCCUACGGGAGGCAGCAGUGGGGAAUCUUCCGCAAUGGGCGAAAGCCUGACGGAGCAACGCCGCGUGAGUGAUGACGGCCUUCGGGUUGUAAAACUCUGUGAUCCGGGACGAAAAGGCAGAGUGCGAAGAACAAACUGCAUUGACGGUACCGGAAAAGCAAGCCACGGCUAACUACGUG
rnacentral:rRNA from 1 species